rnacentral:rRNA from 1 species
CCUACGGGAGGCAGCAGUGAGGAAUAUUGGUCAAUGGACGCAAGUCUGAACCAGCCAUGCCGCGUGCAGGAAGACGGCUCUAUGAGUUGUAAACUGCUUUUGUACGAGGGUAAACGCAGAUACGUGUAUCUGUCUGCAAGUAUCGUACGAAUAAGGAUCGGCUAACUCCGUGCCAGCAGCCGCGGUAAUACGGAGGAUUCAAGCGUUAUCCGGAUUUAUUGGGUUUAAAGGGUGCGUAGGCGGUCGGAUAAGUUAGAGGUGAAAUCCCGAGGCUCAACUUCGGAAUUGCCUCUGAUACUGGUCGGCUAGAGAGUAGUGGCGGUAGGCGGAAUGUAUGGUGUAGCGGUGAAAUGCUUAGAGAUCAUACAGAACAACGAUUGCGAAGGCAGCUUACCAAGCUACUUCUGACGUUGAGGCACGAAAGCGUGGGGAGCAAACAGGAUUAGAUACCCGAGUAGUC